rnacentral:rRNA from 1 species
CCUACGGGGGGCAGCAGUGGGGAAUUUUGGACAAUGGGGGCAACCCUGAUCCAGCCAUGCCGCGUGCGGGAAGAAGGCCUUCGGGUUGUAAACCGCUUUUGUCAGGGAAGAAAUCUUCCGAGCUAAUACCUUGGGAGGAUGACGGUACCUGAAGAAUAAGCACCGGCUAACUACGUGCCAGCAGCCGCGGUAAUACGUAGGGUGCAAGCGUUAAUCGGAGUUUCUGCGGGUAAAGCUGCAACAGGGGGGUGAAAUCCCCGGGCUGAACCUGGGAACUGCACUUGUGACUGUACGGCUGGAGUACGGCAGAGGGGGAUGGAAUUCCGCGUGUAGCAGUGAAAUGCGUAGAUAUGCGGAGGAACACCGAUGGCGAAGGCAGUCCCCUGGGCCUGUACUGACGCUCAUGCACGAAAGCGUGGGGAGCAAACAGGAUUAGAUACCCGGGUAGUC